UACGUAGGGGGCGAGCGUUGUCCGGAUUUAUUGGGCGUAAAGAGCGUGUAGGCGGUUCGGUAAGUCUGUCGUGAAAUCCUGAGGCUCAACCUCGGGCGUGCGAUGGAUACUGCCGGGCUAGAGGGUGGUAGAGGCGAGUGGAGUUCCCGGUGUAGCGGUGAAAUGCGCAGAUAUCGGGAGGAACAUCAGUUGCGAAGGCGGCCACCUGGACCAGCACUGACACUGAGGCACGAAAGCGUGGGGAGCAAACAGG
rnacentral:rRNA from 1 species